rnacentral:rRNA from 1 species
AACUUCCGUUAUUGAUUAUGACGUGCUUGCACUGAAUGAGAUUUUAACACGAAGUGAGUGGCGGACGGGUGAGUAACACGUGGGUAACCUGCCCAGAAGCAGGGGAUAACACCUGGAAACAGAUGCUAAUACCGUAUAACAGAGAAAACCGCCUGGUUUUCUUUUAAAAGAUGGCUCUGCUAUCACUUCUGGAUGGACCCGCGGCGCAUUAGCUAGUUGGUGAGGUAACGGCUCACCAAGGCGAUGAUGCGUAGCCGACCUGAGAGGGUAAUCGGCCACAUUGGGACUGAGACACGGCCCAGACUCCUACGGGAGGCAGCAGUAGGGAAUCUUCCACAAUGGACGCAAGUCUGAUGGAGCAACGCCGCGUGAGUGAAGAAGGGUUUCGGCUCGUAAAGCUCUGUUGUUAAAGAAGAACGUGGGUGAGAGUAACUGUUCACCCAGUGACGGUAUUUAACCAGAAAGCCACGGCUAACUACGUGCCAGCAGCCGCGGUAAUACGUAGGUGGCAAGCGUUAUCCGGAUUUAUUGGGCGUAAAGCGAGCGCAGGCGGUCUUUUAAGUCUAAUGUGAAAGCCUUCGGCUCAACCGAAGAAGUGCAUUGGAAACUGGGAGACUUGAGUGCAGAAGAGGACAGUGGAACUCCAUGUGUAGCGGUGAAAUGCGUAGAUAUAUGGAAGAACACCAGUGGCGAAGGCGGCUGUCUGGUCUGUAACUGACGCUGAGGCUCGAAAGCAUGGGUAGCGAACAGGAUUAGAUACCCUGGUAGUCCAUGCCGUAAACGAUGAUUACUAAGUGUUGGAGGGUUUCCGCCCUUCAGUGCUGCAGCUAACGCAUUAAGUAAUCCGCCUGGGGAGUACGACCGCAAGGUUGAAACUCAAAAGAAUUGACGGGGGCCCGCACAAGCGGUGGAGCAUGUGGUUUAAUUCGAAGCUACGCGAAGAACCUUACCAGGUCUUGACAUCUUCUGCCAACCUAAGAGAUUAGGCGUUCCCUUCGGGGACAGAAUGACAGGUGGUGCAUGGUUGUCGUCAGCUCGUGUCGUGAGAUGUUGGGUUAAGUCCCGCAACGAGCGCAACCCUUAUUACUAGUUGCCAGCAUUCAGUUGGGCACUCUAGUGAGACUGCCGGUGACAAACCGGAGGAAGGUGGGGACGACGUCAAAUCAUCAUGCCCCUUAUGACCUGGGCUACACACGUGCUACAAUGGAUGGUACAACGAGUCGCGAAACCGCGAGGUUUAGCUAAUCUCUUAAAACCAUUCUCAGUUCGGACUGUAGGCUGCAACUCGCCUACACGAAGUCGGAAUCGCUAGUAAUCGCGGAUCAGCAUGCCGCGGUGAAUACGUUCCCGGGCCUUGUACACACCGCCCGUCACACCAUGAGAGUUUGUAACACCCAAAGCCGGUGGGGU